CCCUUCGGGACCUGCCGCUUAGGGAUAGGCUCGCGUCCUAUCAGCUAAUUGGUGAGGUAAUGGCUCACCAAGGCUUAUGACGGGUAGCUGGACUGAGAGGUUGACCAGCCACACUGGGACUGAGACACUGCCCAGACUCCUACGGGAGGCUGCAGUCGAGAAUAUUCAGCAAUGGGCGAAAGCCUGACUGAGCGACGCCGCGUGCAGGAUGAAGGUUUUCGGAUUGUAAACUGCUUUUGUCAGGAAAGAAACCUCUGCAUUUAAUAGAUGCAGGGCUGACGGUACCUGACGAAUAAGCCACGGCCAACUCCGUGCCAGCAGCCGCGGUAAUACGGAGGUGGCAAGCGUUACUCGGAAUUAUUGGGUGUAAAGGGUAGGUAGGCGGUUUAUUAAGUGAGGGGUGAAAUCCUGCGGCUCAAUCGCAGAAUUGCCUUUCAAACUGGUAGACUUGAGGCCUGAAGGGGGAAACGGAAUUAGCAGUGUAAGGGUGAAAUCUGUAGAUAUUGCUAAGAACAUCAGCAGCGAAGGCGGUUUCCUGGUCAGGUUCUGACGCUGAGCUACGAAAGCUAGGGGAGCAAACAGGAUUAGAUACCCUGGUAGUCCUAGCCGUAAACGAUGAGCACUAGGUGUUGGUCCUUCGGGAUCAGUGCCGCAGCUAACGCAUUAAGUGCUCCACCUGGGGACUACGGUCGCUAGGCUAAAACUCAAAGGAAUUGACGGGGACCCGCACAAGCGGUGGAACAUGUGGUUUAAUUCGAUGCUACGCGAAGAACCUCACCAGGGUUUGACAUGCAGGCAGUAGAGAACUGAAAGGGGAUCGACUCGUUAAGUCCGAGAACCUGCACAGGUGCUGCAUGGCUGUCGUCAGCUCUGUCGUGAGAUGUUGGGUUAAGUCCCGCGACGAGCGCAACCAUUGCCCUAUGUUGCCACCCCAGCUCUUCUGGGAAACCAGAAUCUGGGCGCACUCUUAGGGGACUGCCUGGGAUAACCAGGAGGAAGGUGGAGAUGACGUCAAGUCAGUACGGCCUUUAUGCCCUGGGCUACACACGUGUUACAAUGGACGGUACAAAGGGUUGCCAACCCGCGAGGGGGAGCUAAUCUCAAAAAACCGUCCUCAGUUCGGAUAGGAGUCUGCAAUUCGACUCCUUGAAGCCGGAAUCGCUAGUAAUGGGAAAUCAGCUCGUUCCCAUGAAUACGUUCCCGGGUCUUGUACACACCGCCCGUCAAGCGAUGAAAGCAGGGAGUACCCGAAGUCCUGUGU
rnacentral:rRNA from 1 species